ensembl:Mt_tRNA
GCCCUCGUAGUAUAAACUAAUACACCGGUCUUGUAAACCGGAAAUGGAUAUCUCUCCCCAGGGUA